AGUGAACGCUGGCGGUAGGCCUAACACAUGCCAGUCGAACGGCAGCACAGUAAGAGCUUGCUCUUACGGGUGGCGAGUGGCGGACGGGUGAGGAAUACAUCGGAAUCUACUUUUUCGUGGGGGAUAACGUAGGGAAACUUACGCUAAUACCGCAUACGACCUACGGGUGAAAGCAGGGGAUCUUCGGACCUUGCGCGAUUGAAUGAGCCGAUGUCGGAGUAGCUAGUUGGCGGGGUAAAGGCCCACCAAGGCGACGAUCCGUAGCUGGUCUGAGAGGAUGAUCAGCCACACUGGAACUGAGACACGGUCCAGACUCCUACGGGAGGCAGCAGUGGGGAAUAUUGGACAAUGGGCGCAAGCCUGAUCCAGCCAUACCGCGUGGGUGAAGAAGGCCUUCGGGUUGUAAAGCCCUUUUGUUGGGAAAGAAAAGCAGCAGGUUAAUACCCCGCUGUCCUGACGGUACCCAAAGAAUAAGCACCGGCUAACUUCGUG
rnacentral:rRNA from 1 species